rnacentral:tRNA from 4 species
GGGCGGAUAGCUCAGCGGUAGAGCGCUUCCCUUACAAGGAAGAUGUCGGGGGUUCGAUCCCCUCUUCGCCCA